GAAGCCACCCGAUAUUCAGCAACAUGCGGGAAAAAAGAAAUACCUUUAAAGGUGCAAACCCAGAACUAGUUUCUCUAGCAUUCUCCGCUGGAUUAGCAAAGUUCAUCUACCCUUCUCCUAAUUUACUUGAAAUAAGUAAUUUAUCUGAAGGAAUGAAGAAAGCCAUCAAGAA